GUGAAUCAUCGAAUUUUUGAACGCAAAUUGCACUCUCUGGUAUUCCGGGGAGUAUGCUUGCUUGAGGGUUAGUUUAUUACAAAUCGUAAAAAGAAGUUUUUACGGACUUGGUUUUUCCAAAAGUUAUAUUUUUGUUAUUUUAAAAUUUAUGGUAACAAUAGGUGAUAUUGGAAUUGUUAUUUUUUAAUUAAUUAACAAUUAUUCCCAAUUUUGUUACGUCGUGUUAUUUUCUUAUUUCUUUAUUUAGUUAAGGUAAUACA
rnacentral:misc_RNA from 1 species